AACGAACGCUGGCGGCAUGCCUAACACAUGCAAGUCGAACGAGAAGUCCGGGUCUAGUGGCGCACGGGUGCGUAACGCGUGGGAACCUGCACUUAGGUUCGGAAUACCUCACCGAAAGGGGUGCUAAUACCGGAUAAUGUCUUCGGACCAAAGAUUUAUUGCCAUUGGCUGGGCCCGCGUUGGAUUCGCUAGUUGGUAGGGUAAAAGCCUAUCAAGGCGUCGAUGCAUAGCUGGUCGGAGAGGAUGAUCAGCCACACUGGGACUAAGACACGGCCCAGACUCCUACGCAACGGAGGAGUGGGUAAUAUUGGACAAGGGGGGAAAGCCUGAUCCAGCAGUGCCGGGGAAGAGAUGAAUGCCGUAGGGUAGUAAAGCUCUUUUACCCGGGAUGAUAAUGACGGUACCGGGUGAAUAAGCACCGGCUAACUCCGUG
rnacentral:rRNA from 1 species